rnacentral:lncRNA from 1 species
UGUCGAUUAAUGGAGGAAUUAGUGUAUUGAAAGUCGUUUAUCACCCCAGACAAGGCAUGGUGUAGCCCAUGCUUUGGCUAAAUUUUGGUCGUGCUAGAUGCAAGGACGGACUCACAGUGGGGUCACUGGGGCCAAACGACCUCAUGGAAGCCAUGGAAAUAGGCUUGAAGGUCCACCUGAGCUAACUGUGCUUAGGAGGAAGCUGCACGCAUGAGGAAGAAGAAGUAGCACAGCGUGUUUUUGUUUUUUUGUUUUUAAAGCACCCUUGGCAAAAACAACGUCGUUUUUGCCCAUGCAAUUUUUUUUUAUAAAAAAAAUAACCUUCCAUAUCCCUCCACUCUCCCACCCGACCCAGCCAAUCUUCCCGCCCACCCCAAAAACCCUUAAACCCCAUCUCCCAAUUUCUAUUAUUAUCUUUUCAAACCCUAACCCCAAGCUCCCCAAUCCCCACCUGUUGUAGUGCCGUCGAUGUAUUGCCACUGUCGUCGGAGUUGUCCACUACAUGUUGUGGCGCCACUAUUAUUGUGAUAUUUCUCAUUUCAAGUAAGUUCUAAAUCCUAAUAUCAAAAUAAGGAUGAUGUAUGCUGUUUUUAAUUUAAUGAAAAUUAAAUUUAUAAUUGUUUGGAUGAAAUUUAUGAUUUACAUGUAUUGGGUUGAUUAAUUGGAUGAAGUUUUUGCUGAUUUGUUGAUUAGGUGGUUGUGGUUUUUUGCUUAAUUGGCAUAAGUUUGAUUUACAUAUUGAAAUCACUAAAAAACAUACAUUAAAAAAAAUGACAAAUUGAAAUUAUUCAAAGUAUAUUUGUCCCAGAAAGGAAUAAAAUUUAGAAGAGAAAAAAUAGAUAAGAAAAAUAACCCUAUAACCGUACGACGUUUGAAUCUUAGGUCUGUCACUGACUAGAGGAAGCUCUUCGUAUGAGAGAGGAUGCACCGUUGCCGUGGUUAGCGCUAUUAUUAAAAAAGGACAUGAACGGGGAUGUUAAUUGCUUUUAUGGGUAGUGAAGAAAUGUGGUUUUUUUUUUUCCCUUAUCGACUUACCUGUUGACGAGUCAUUACUUAGUUAGGAUUUUGGUUCCUUAUUUCAUUAGAAUUUUAGUUACUUACCAAUUAUUAUUUAGUCCUAUUGUAAUAGAGAUUUACUUCCUAUUGUAAUUUAGAUAUAUUUCUUAUUUUAUUUAGGGC